ensembl:lncRNA
AAAUAGGUACUUGUUGCUUAUUUGUCUUAUGUAUAGUAGUGUCUGUCUGCUGAUCCCAAACUUCUAAUUUAUCUCUGCCCUACUCCUUUCCACUUUGGAAACCAUGAGCUUGUUUUCCGUAUCUGUGAGUCUGUUUUAUAAAUAAGUUCACUUGUAUUAUUUCUUUUAGAUUGCACAUAUGAGAGGUACCAUGUGUAUCUUUACCUUUCUCUGUCUGACCUGCUUCACUCAGUAUGAUGAUUUCUCGGUCCAUCCAUGUUGCUGUAAAUGGCAGGAGUUCAGUCUUUUUCACGACUCAGUAAUAUUCCACUGUCUGUACGUGCCACACCUUCUUUAUCCAGUCACCCGUCCGCGGACAUUUAGGUUGCUUUCCCACAUCCUUUCCCAGUUGGCUAAUCUUUCCAGCUGGACUCUGACAAGAGGCGCCCAAUGAGUGCAGCUCAACCACUUUGUCUGGAAGGUCGGCGGGGGCCUAUAAGUCAGCUCUGAUGGCCUGGGAGGCUGAGGGCAGCAGAUGUGCUUCUGGAACAGCUGUGAGAAACAAGGAGGCCCCUCUUUCUUCUGUCACAGCAGCGGAUUAUCAGCUUGACCCAGGCGGUUGGAGGAGCCCCACCGCCUCCUGACGCGCCUGGCCUGUCAGCCCUCACCUUCCCACAGGACCGGAAGUCCUUCCCCUAACCCUGACCUUGACCCUGACCCAUCCCCGUCCCUCUGGGGCUACCCUCGCCUCAAGCCGCGGCCUCCACACAGCAGGCCCCUCUCAGGGUCCCUCGGAGACGCCUCAGGGUCACGGAGUUACUCAGAUCAAAUGGCCCCCAGAGGUGACCCACCACCCUCUGCUCAGCUGCGGCACAGGACCAGAAGAAAGCCCAGGGUCGGGAGGGAUGGGGACGGAUAAACACAGAGCGCACGCCCGCGUGUCCGUCCACCUCAGAGCGGGAAGACGGGCGGGGCGGGGCGGGGGGGGGGGGGGGGGGAAAUGACGCGCCGGGGAAGGAAGUGCAUCACCACAGGAAAACGGAAUGGCUCCGGCCCCACCGUCGGGCCUCCGGAGGAAGCCUCGCUCAGCCCCUUGUCUCCCGCCGGCUUGGCCGGCCCUGGGGACACCUGACCCACUUCCCCGAGGCCGCGUUGCGACGGAGCGUCUUUGGUGAACGGCCCAGCCCGGGUCGUGCAGAGGGCGGCUCCCUCACCUUCGGAGCUGGCGACGUGUGUCCCGAGCGGGAGGCCCCAUCUUGCUCGGGCCCGGCGUGGGGAAGCGAGGCCCGGGGCCUCCGGGGGAGGAGCCCAGGGCCUGGCUGGCAUCCGGCCUGGGGCCUGAGGCGCAGGGCCGGAGGCGGCCACUGGGUCUGGAGGCUCCUCCACGUGGACCCGCCGGCCAGCUCCUCGAGUGAGCGCACUGCCCCCGCGUCCGAGUCACGGCGGUGGCUCGGCCCACGGGGGAAGGCUGCUGCUGGAGGGGGAGACCCUGACGCAGUCUACAGCCUCGCAGCGGCUUUGCACUUGACCUGGGGGAAGGCUGGGCUGCCUUGCCGCCUUCUCUUUUCCUGCUCUUCAAUCACCUGGCUGCAGGUACCGUCACCCUGCCUAUGCAGAAAGGUCUCCGAGGCUGUUUUGCACUUCUCACAUAUCUGA